rnacentral:rRNA from 1 species
UACGGAGGAUCCAAGCGUUAUCCGGAUUUAUUGGGUUUAAAGGGUGCGUAGGCGGCCUAUUAAGUCAGGGGUGAAAGACGGUAGCUUAACUAUCGCAGUACCUUUGAUACUGAUGGGCUUGAAUACACUAGAGGUAGGCGGAAUGUGACAAGUAGCGGUGAAAUGCAUAGAUAUGUCACAGAACACCAAUUGCGAAGGCAGCUUACUAUGGUGCAAUUGACGCUGAGGCACGAAAGCGUGGGGAUCAAACAGG